GGGAAAAAUUAUACCAAAUGCGUGACCAGUUACGAUGACAUUAUAGAUCUGGUCAUCUCCUAAUAAGGCUCCAGGUUGACCUAACUCGGCGCGAAUAAGAAG